rnacentral:rRNA from 1 species
UACGGGGGGGGCAAGCGUUGUUUGGAAUUACUGGGCGUAAAGGGCUCGUAGGCGGCCAACUAAGUCAGACGUGAAAUCCCCUCGGCUUAACCGGGGAACUGCGUCUGAUACUGGAUGGCUUGAGGUUGGGAGAGGGAUGCGGAAUUCCAGGUGUAGCGGUGAAAUGCGUAGAUAUCUGGAGGAACACCGGUGGCGAAGGCGGCAUCCUGGACCAAUUCUGACGCUGAGGAGCGAAAGCCAGGGGAGCAAACGGG